rnacentral:lncRNA from 1 species
CUCUCCUUUCAGUUCCAACCGCAAUGGCUGCCACGAGAACCAUUCUCCUCGCCGUGGCCACAAUGACCAUCCUGAGCACCGCAUCGGCGGCAAUCUACAACGUCGGCGAGCCAGGUGGUGCAUGGGACCUCAGCACCAACUACGGCACCUGGGCGUCGAUCCUCCAGGAACUUCCACCCAAGCGACCAGAUCGUCUUCAAAUACUCUCCUCAGGCACACGACGUCCUCGAGGUCAACCAGGCCGGCUACGACUCGUGCAGCAUCGGCAGCCCAAUCGCCACCCUCAACUCCGGGAAUGAUGUCGUCUCCCUCACCGCCACCGGUACCCGCUACUUCAUAUGCGGCUUCCCGGGCCACUGCGCCGGGGGAAUGAAGGUCAAGAUCGAUGUUGUGUCGAUUUCCUCUUCUUCCUCGCCUGCCCCGGCCAGCGGUCCCAGUGCAAGUAACGCUCCUCCGCCGACGCCUGUCUCAGCCGCAACCUCUAUGGCCACCACAGGGUUUGGUCUCGCCAUCGUACUUGCCGUAGCCGGCCUCCUGGCUUGAGUGUGAUUUGCAAGUAACGAUUACUACAAGCAUAUGUGUAUAUUGCAUAGUGUAAUACUUAUAGGGUAUGUUGUAUGUAUCUAGGCUCCGCGUUUUUGCAUAUUCAUUUUAGAUCAUGAGUAAUAAAGAUUAUUUUCAUAUUAUAAGUUAUUUUACCUGAAAUGGUUUGAUCUAUACUGCAAGAAGAGCCAGAUUUCUCUAACUUUGACUUGAAACACGCAAAAAUGUACAUACAUAUUGAUUAUACAUGUAAUUGGUAUUAUUCUUUAAUUUGUCUUAAAUAUGUGAAUUAGUAGCCUAUAGUUGGAGUUUUCGAUGUACUUAAGUUGGAGAGUCUUGUAUUUAAGUUGAACAAAUGUUAACAAGUAACCCGAAUCGGAUAUAAAAAUGUAGAAUGUUGUGAUCAAAACAGACUAGACGAAACAAAGGCCAAACACGACACCAGGAUAUGGACAUGGAUGCCCGUGGAAUGGGUGGCCAAACGCAGUUAUCAGCCUUGGCAUGGGGGACUUUGUGGUAGGCAUACCAUGUUGAUUUAAAUACAUGGACAGCCGGUUUUAUAUUCAUGAUGAGAGAAGUAGUGGUCCGUGCUAAAUUUCAUGAACUUUUUUUGGUGUUUCCGUGGUGAUUGCUUAUCCUUGGUAGAUCAAUGUGCGUGUUGGAUUUCCUUUUACUCUAGUAUAAACUACACUACAAGAGGUACACUAUCACAAUCCCCAAACCUUAUAGACCUAGAAAUAAAUGUAUAUAUCAAUAUAAACUUCUUCUGUUGAAAUUGUCAGAUUUCUUGUACGUAAUUUUCACUUUACAACUUAUAGAGCUUGCAACUUUCAAUAACAUCAUUGAUGGCGCGUGUUGUCGCGGCCGUCCAUUCUAGCAAUAGAAUGGUAUGAACUCUUAAAUAUGGGUGACAUUUGGCCACAACUUUACUCAGCUCAGAAGCUACCACUCAACGUAUUUUAUGAAUCACUUUAACCAAUAUAUGAUCAAAAACAAGUUACGGCAUAUGCCUAGCUAUAAUAUUUACAACUGGAAAAACAUUCUGACUGGUUGAAACAAUUUUUCAAAGUUUUAUAACAACCUAGGCUUCCCUUUUUGCAAAUAAAGUGCAAACUCAAUUAUAUGGGACAACAGGCCGAAACAAAUAACAACGGUAAAAUACCUCACAAUGUGGCACGAUGCUGCACCCCAACAACUUCGUGAUUGGCCGAUCGCAGCCUCUUCUUGGAAGUCAUACUAGAAACAGCUUCGAUGUCCAAGUGUUAGCGGUGCAUCAUGACCGAGCACAGUUGCUUCCACUAUACACUGUCCAAGUGUUAGCGGUGCAUCAUGACACGGAUCCCUGAUGGAGUAAACUAUAAAUUUAUUAGAAAAUAGUCAUCCAAUACACUGUGCAUUUGGUCUUAAUCUAUAUAAUCUACACUGGUCAGAAGCUCGAGAGUGACUCUAACACAAUAACAACCCCAAGAGUGAGUCAUGUAUAUGUAAAACUAGGAGAAUUGAUAAUGUUGGUCAAAAUAUAUGUGAAAACAUAGUAUCUAUAAAAGAAAGUCUUGCUUUAUGUUCUUAUCAAAGCAAGUUUAGCCUAUUCGGAAUCAAUAUGGGCACUUCCUAGCUGUACUGCGAUGAAUUAUUUGACUAUCGAGCAAUCCCAACAAAAGUAAAUGAUACAAAAACAAAAAAUAGAAAGGUCAUACAAAAUGCAAUUCUCUAAAUAGGUUUUUCAUUUGAGAGCAGGCAACAUAUGAUCAUUCUAUAUUCUGCUCCUCCAAGGUGUACAUAGUAUUGCAUCAACUCAUGGCAAGAUUGUAAUCAUUAGACAAAUUCCCCUUUAGCUCUAAGUUUAGUGUCUGCAGACUUCAAGUUUGUUGUUACCCAUUCCUAGCUCAUCCGAGUGAGGUAUCCUGCAAAUGUAUCACAUCAUCUAGAACAUAUAUGGGUCCUAUUAAGUAGAAGAAAAUAAAAGAUAAUAUUCUUUUCAUAUAUUGUGCAUUAUCAAAGUACUAUCAUAGAUGAUUAUAUCUAUAAGUUGUGACUGCUGACUUACACGUUUUUACUUUUGAGUUUUCCAUAUUUUGUAGUCUAAUUAGUUCGAAGAAACCUCAUAUUAUGUCUCAAAAAAAGUUGGGCUAGUUUUUCAUCACAAUACCAUGUUAAUGAGGAUUAUGUACAACCUUAUUUUGAUUGUAGUACCUCCUGGUUUAGUAAACAAUUGCAAGCAUGAUUUGAUUGGAGUGGGAUGCUGGUUACAAUUACUAAUUAGAAGCAGAAUAACAAUUACUUGAUGAAUUAAAAGUACUAAAUUAUUUUUACUUUCUAGCAAGUAAACAUUAUUUGGAACUAAGCGGAAAAAAAGUUGGAAAUAAAUGACUUCGUAAAGGCAAAGACUUAAACCUAUAAGGUAGUGGGAAUGAAGAUGGUGUAUUGUUUACCAUACUAGAGACCUCGUGCUCGAUCAUUCCGGUGCCGUGCAAUAAUCCUAGGCAGCAUGACAAUUAUAGCUCAAGUUUCAUCAUUGCAAACAUUCUAUUUACAGUUAAAUAUUAUAAUUUUUAUCAAAAAAUAAGCAUGGUAAGGACCCGUUACAUCCAUGUUUUCAAAUUUACUUGGAGUUGAAAAUAGUCCAUUAGACCUCCAGAAACAUCUGGAAAUUAAUUGAUGAGAUUAUUAGGCCACACAUGAAGCAAGCAUAUCAGAGAAUCACACUAUAUGUAUAUGGUCAACUUUUUGGCCAAACUCGUCUAAAAUGAACGUCAUGAACAAUCUAAAAAACUCUAACCACUGAAUAAUAACUUAUCAACAAUGUGGAUUAAUUAUAGAAUGCCAACAAACAUAGCCUCUAUAAAGAAUCCACAGUUAGUUAAUAUCAGGAAAACAAAAUUACAAGGACAUAAAAAACGGAUGCAGAAAAAUCAGAUUGCGCCCGGAUGACAGUUUCUUGAACUGGACUAUACUAUCAAACAUUGGUUCAAAAUAUAUCAUAUUCACAUUUUUUUGGUUUAGCUCUGGUUUUGACUACUGGCAACAUCCUAGAAAGCAUACUUUAGUUAAUCAUGCCACAAUGACAUUAAUGUAAAUUAAACCUGCAAAUGAGUGCCCUUGAUUUGAAGGGCAUAACAUGAUGGCAUAAAUGGAACUCAAAAGGACACCGAUAGCAGUGCCGCUAGAGGCUAGAUCUACACCCAUUCAAUGUAAUUCAUUGAAAGAAAAUUUAGAGAACAUACAUGAUACUUCCAUUCAGCUUAAGUACGCUUUUCUUAGGAAAAACAAUCUGAGCCAGAAACAUUUGUAUGGUCUACAAAUAAGAGAUCAAAAUUGUCGGCUUGUGUUCCAAUUCCACACCAAUCCACUAUAAAAAUUACAAAGAUCUUGCAUGACAAUUUCAUUUGGCUACCAAUACUAACAUCACAGUUAGUCAUGCAGAUCAACAACUGUAGGGUUCGAGGAGCCAAUUCAGCAGAACCAAUCUCCCAUGACUACAUUGGUAGCACUGUAUCCCAAAUGAGAUAUUACUCUGAUAGCUCAGCAAUUGAGCUAUCAGUUAAGACAUUCGUAUAGGUACUCAUUGAGUAACAGAACAAAAGAACACGUUACAACUCACACGAUUUUCAUUUCAAUACAAUUCAGGUACUGGCGUUUGACAACCUAAGGAUCAGAUUUCUUAAAAACUCCUUUUCUAGUAUGAUCAUCUUCUGCUGCAAGGCAGAUGUAGACCAAACCGGUGGGCUCGGACGAACAAUAUGUCCAGCCGCCAUUUGGAUACCUCGAAGAGAUGAAAGAGUCCGCCUGAACUGAAAACCGCCCAAGUGAAACCGCACAAAGCCAAUAUGGCACUAGCACGUACCUUACGGUCAAAUAGUAGAGUGAUGUUUGAUCCUUUGACGCUGCGUGUGCAGACUCCAGAUAUGGCCAAGAUGGGAGAAGGAGGACGAAUGUCGUUAGGGGUCUCAUACCACACAGGGCGGUCGAGGAGUACGCCCUGAGGGUAGCGAGCCGGAGGAAAGAGCGUACCUGGCGGCCCUCUCCCGUGUCGCGGAUGAGAGAGAGAGAGAGAGAGAGGAGGGAGGGAGGGAGGGAGGGAGAGAGAGNNNNNNNNNNNNNNNNNNNNNNNNNNNNNNNNNNNNNNNNNNNNNNNNNNNNNNNNNNNNNNNNNNNNNNNNNNNNNNNNNNNNNNNNNNNNNNNNNNNNCAUUUUGUUGCUACUGUUUUCUGCGUGUCAAGUAUUUAUUCCUAUGGCCAUGAGAUCAUAUAACUCACUGACACCGGAGGAAUGCUUUGUGUGUAUCAAACGUCGCAACGUAACUGGGUGACUAUAAAGAUGCUCUACAGGUACCUCCGAAGGUGUUCGUUGAGUUAGUAUGGAUCAAGACUGGGAUUUGUCACUCCGUAUGACGGAGAGGUAUCUCGGGGCCCACUCGAUAAUACAACAUCACACACAAGCCUUGCAAGCAAUGUGACUUAGAGUAAGUUGUGGGAUCUUGUAUUACGGAACGAGUAAAGAGACUUGCCGGUAAACGAGAUUGAAAUAGGUAUGCGGAUACUGACGAUCGAAUCUCGGGCAAGUAACAUACCGAAGGACAAAGGGAAUGACAUACGGGAUUAUAUGAAUCCUUGGCACUAAGUUCAAACGAUAAGAUCUUUCUAGAAUAUGUAGGAUCCAAUAUGGGCAUCCAGGUCCCGCUAUUGGAUAUUGACCGAGGAGUCUCUCGGGUCAUGUCUACAUAGUUCUCGAACCCGCAGGGUCUGCACACUUAAGGUUCGACGUUGUUUUAUGCGUAUUUAAGUUAUAUGGUUGGUUAACGAAUGUUGUUCGGAGUCCCGGAUGGGAUCACGGACGUCACGAGGGUUUCCGGAAUGGUCCGGAGACGAAGAUUGAUAUAUAGGAUGACCUCAUUUGGUUACCGGAAAGUUUUCGGGCAUUACCGGAAAAGUUUCGGGCUCAUCGGUAGUGUACCGGGAGUGCCGGGAGGGAUGACGGGGACCACCAGGAGGGGUGUCACGCCCCAAGGGGUCUCAUGGGCUAUGGGAAGAGAUAAACCAGCUCCUAGUGGGCUAGAAUAAGUUCCCACUAAGGCCCAUAAGGUUUGAGAAGGAAAAACACAAGGUGGAAAGAGUUUCCAAGUGGGAAGGUGGAAUCCUACUCCAAGUAGGAUUGGAGUAGGACUCCUCCACCUCCAAUUUCGGCCAAACCUUUGGGUUUUGAGGCUGCCUCCUCCCCUCCCUCCCACCUAUAUAUACGGAGGUUUUAGGGCUGAUUUGAGACGACUUUCUCACGGCUGCCCGACCACAUAUCUCCAUAGUUUUUCCUCUAGAUCACGUUUCUGCGGAGCUCGGGCGGAGCCCUGCUGAGACAAGAUCAUCACCAACCUCCGGAGCGCCGUCACGCUGCCGGAGAACUCUUCUACCUCUCCGUCUCUCUUGCUGGAUCAAGAAGGCCGAGAUCAUCGUNNNNNNNNNNNNNNNNNNNNNNNNNNNNNNNNNNNNNNNNNNNNNNNNNNNNNNNNNNNNNNNNNNNNNNNNNNNNNNNNNNNNNNNNNNNNNNNNNNNNCUAUGCUAAUCACAUCAUCUAUAUGAUUCAUGAUCGACCUUUCGGUCUCAUGUGUUCCGAGGCCAUGUGUGCACAUGCUAGGCUCGUCAAGCUUAACCCGAGUGUUCCGCGUGCGCAACUGUUUUGCACCCGUUGUAUGUGAACGUUGAGUCUAUCACACCCGAUCAUCACGUGGUGUCUCGAAACGACGAACUGUAGCAACGGUGCACAGUCGGGGAGAACACAACUUUGUCUUGAAAUUUUAGUGAGAGAUCACCUCAUAAUGCUACCGUCGUUCUAAGAAAAAUAAGGUGCAUAAAAGGAUUAACAUCACAUGCAAUUCAUAAGUGACAUGAUAUGGCCAUCAUCACGUGCUUCUUGAUCUCCAUCACCAAAGCACCGGCACGAUCUUCUUGUCACCGGCGCCACACCAUGAUCUCCAUCAACGUGUUGCCGUCGGGGUUGUCGUGCUACUCAUGCUAUUACUACUAAAGCUACAUCCUAGCAAAAUAGUAAACGCAUCUGCAAGCACACACGUUAGUAUAAAGACAACCCUAUGGCUCCUGCCGGUUGCCGUACCAUCGACGUGCAAGUCGAUAUUAACUAUUACAACAUGAUCAUCUCAUACAUCCAAUAUAUCACAUCACAUCGUCGGCCAUAUCACAUCGCAAGCAUACCCUGCAAAAUCAAGUUAGACGUCCUCUAAUUGUUGUAGCAUGUUUUACGUGGUUGCCAUGGGUAUCUAGUAGGAUCGCAUCUUACUUACGCAAACACCACAACGGGGAUGUAUGAAUUGCUAUUUAACCUCUCUCCAAGGACCUCCUCGGUCAAAUCCGAUUCAACUAAAGUUGGAGAAACCGACACUCGCUAGUCAUCUUUGAGCAACGGGGUUGCUCGUAGCGAUGAAACCAGUCUCUCGUAAGCGCACGAGUAAUGUUGGUCUGAGCCGCUUCGAUCCAACAAUACCGCGGAAUCAAGAAAAGAGUAAGGAGGGCAGCAAAUCGCACAUCACCGCCCAUAAAAACUUUUGUGUUCUACUCGAGAUGACAUCUACGCAUGAACCUAGCUCAUGAUGCCACUGUUGGGGAACGUUGCGUGGGAAACAAAAAAAUUCCUACGCGCACGAAGACCUAUCAUGGUGAUGUCCAUCUACGAGAGGGGAUUUCCGAUCUACGUACCCUUGUAGAUCGCACACCAGGAAGCGUUAAGAAACGCGGUUGAUGUAGUGGAACGUCCUCAUGUCCCUCGAUCCGCCCCGCGAACCGUCCCACGAUCCGCUCCUAUCUAAUGUCGAACGGACGACACCUCCGCGUUCAGCACACGUACAGCUCGACGAUGAUCUCGGCCUUCNNNNNNNNNNNNUGAGUUCUCCGGCAGCGUGAUGGCGCUCCGGAGGUUGGUGGUGAUCUAUCUCAGCAGGGCUCCGCCCGAGCUCCACAAAAAUACGAUCUAGAGGAAAAAACGUGGAGGUAUGUGGUCGGGCUGCCGUGGCAAAGUUGUCUCAAAUCAGCCCUAAUACCUCAUUAUAUAUAGGAGGGAGGGGGAGGGACCUGCCUUGAGGCUCAAGGGAGCCUCAAGGGGUCGGCCGAAGGGGGGGAGGAGGAGUCCUCCUCCAAUCCUAGUCCAACUAGGAUUGGAAGGUGGAGUCCUACCCUUCCUUCCCACUUCCCCUUUUUUUCUUUUUUCUUUGAUUUUUUCUUCUCCUGUGCAUAAGGCCUCUUGGGCUGUCCCACCAGCCCACUAAGGGCUGGUCCGGCACCCCUAAGGCCUAUGGGCUUGCCCCGGGUGGGCUUCCCCCCCCCCCCCCNNNNNNNNNNNNNNNNNNNNNNNNNNNNNNNNNNNNNNNNNNNNNNNNNNNNNNNNNNNNNNNNNNNNNNNNNNNNNNNNNNNNNNNNNNNNNNNNNNNNACGAGAAGCGGCGAGCAGGCGGGGCGGCGCAGGUCCGAGGGCGGCGGGGCUCCGGCCGGUGGUGGCUCCGGCGAGUGCACGGGGGAGCCCGGGGAGGCAGACCGAUGGCCUGCCAUGGAGGUGCUCCAGAGGAGUUGCGGGAGCCUCGUGCCCAAAUGGGCUCGGGCGGGCCCAACGCGGGCUCCGCGGGCCCGACGGCUGGAGGUGGGAGAGAGAGGCUGCUGGGGGAGAUGGCGGCUAGGGUUUGAGGGGUGCACGGAAAACGAGACACGGGGCUCCUGUCUAAAAAGAGGCACGGGGGGUCUAUAUAUAUAGACAAACGGGGGCUAGGGUUAUUCGAAUUUGGCCCCGUUUUCGCCCACGGGUUCAUGAACGGAUGGCCACAGACGUGGGAAUGGAUACAUGACCGUGUAGAGGGGAUAUCCGGGGACGAUAGGGAGAACGGGCGGUGCGGCAACGAGAUUUUAACACACCGAAAAAAACGUCCGACGGUAGACCGAAUACGGUGCCGCUACGGUCGACCGUUCAGGUACCACACGGACUCCGAUCGCGACGAAAUUCGACAGGCGGACUAGCUAUAACUAAUUACGACCGCAUGCCAAGUUUCACCCCGAUCAGAGAAAGUUUUUAAACGCACUUUUAAAACAGGGUUUGACGAUGCCGCGGGCGCGUGCGUGUGCGGUCGGGUUCAGAACGGACAACGACGCAAACCGCCAACUAACAACGGAUGCAAGUUUUGAAAACGGGCGGCAACGGGAUGCCGAUGCAAUGCUGAUGAUGCGCAUGAUGCGAUGAUGAUGCGACAAAAGAAAAAUAGACACACGACAAAAACGGAAAGAAGGGGAAUCUUCUGGAACGCCGGCAUCGGGCUGUCACAACUCUCCUACACUACAAGAGGAUCUCGCCCCAAGAUCCAAGAAAGAAAGGGGGAGAGGAUGAGAAAGAACAAGAGGUAAAAACUUAGUCACUUCUUUGACAAACGAGUGAAACCAACGAUCGUUGAAGGUUGCAAAGCGAAGAGGAAUGAUAAGAGCAAGAAUUGACGGAAAAUUUCGGCAGCACUUCGGUAGGAAAAUGGGACAAAAAAUUCGAAAAGGUAGGAGAAUUAGACAAUAUACAUAACAAACAACUAAAUAGAGCAAGGGGACACCACAAUCUUGAUAGAACAACAAGAUUGACCCAAAAGAGCAAUAUCACAAAGCCUCCAGAACAAUAGAAUAGGAACUAGCUCAUACGGAAGAAGAGAAUGAAGAAAGAAAUGACAACUAUCAUCACAAUAGAAUUGAAGAGCCUCCAGAUAGAGAAUAGACAGAGUAGUUGGAAAACCAACGACGAAAAGAAAAAGAUAGUAGUGGGCUUAUGAAAAUCAUCUCAACAAAUAUGAGGUGACAACCAACCACUAAAAGAAACAUGGAUAGUUGAAAGAAAAGAUAAGAAAACUUCAUACACCAAGAGGGUACAUUGAGAACUAGGAUUAAUGGGAAGCACCAUGAUAACAACAAUCCAUACGAAAAGCUUUAGGUGAAAUCCAAACCAAGAUAGCUCAACGAAGAACUCAUGGGUUGAAAAUAUCUCAUGAUCAUAGAAUUGGUGGGUUUAAUUAUCUCAUUCCUGAAAGAAAAUCUCUUCGAGGCUCCUACACUAACAAGAAUGCUAUAAUACCACCUCAAAUGAUAAAGAAAGAAAAAUUGCACAUAUGAAUGCAAGAGAAAGGAUACUUGAGGUACUCCAACAGGAAUCUUGAAGAACACAUGAGAAUGAAUCACAUCCUUGAAGAACCAGCAUGACGAGCUUCCGAAUCAAAAUGAAUGACGCAACGACAUGAAGGUAGAAAAGAAUAAGAUUAUCACCUUGCCAAAAUUAAGAUGAAGCCUUAGAAAUAGAUACUGAUAGACUUGGAACUUUGGAAAAGAAAGAUAAGAACACUUGAGAAAAGAAUUGAUAUCAUGAGCCCUCCGGAAGAAGAAUUCAGAUUACUAUCAACAAGAAUAAUAAUUAUGUUAUGCUUAUCCUUCAUGAAGUUAAAUUGAUGACAAGCAACGGAUCCAGCAUACCACUUAUUCUUCUAGAAAUGAAUCUUGAAGAGGCAGAAAGAUAAGCACCACUUGAGGCAAAAUUGAAGGAAGCACCGGUAAGAGUUCACAAUCGAAUGGGAACACCACGAAUUAAUGGAGAUGCAUGAGAAUGAAGAGAUCAUGAUCAACCUAACAGAAAACUUGAACAAGGCACCGGAUAAUCGAGAGACGAACGAAGAGACAACAAUUGAGGAGAAUUGAGGAUGAAAGCUGAAAGCUGAGAAUGAAAAAGUCUUCUGAAAUGAUGGCCUUCGGAGGAUCGAGAAUGAAAACAACUCAGAAAAGCACCGGAUGGCAAGAAAAAGGGAUUACUCAUGAUUGGAACAAAUAAGAUAAUGCCACCAAGCUGAAAAGAUAAAUCUUCAAGAGAAUGAAUCAAGAUUGAGAGAAACACCCCUUCGGAUAGCAAGCUGAGAAUGAUGACGAGAAACAACACCAAUAACUACUGAGACACUCCGGAAUAAUGAAGAAUGAAAGGUUGAGCCAACAUGAGAAUUAAUUCAAAUAGAUCUUGACGAAGGGAUAUGACUGAUGGAAAUCAUACUUACGUCAUAGUUGAAAAGAAUUAAAGAUCUCUGGAAAGAUUACAAGAGCUAAAAGAUCCCGGGAAAAACCUGUGGGUUAUGGGCCCACUCAAAGAAAUCACCGUUGAAAAGAUUGCUCAGAGGCACAGAAAUUGCACCGAUAUAAGAGAACUAGAUGAGGUAGAGCACCUCAAAAUAAUUGAAGAUCUGAAACAAGAAACUCUGAGAUAUCUUCAACACUCCGAUAGAAUAGAGAUAAAUGCCAACAAAAGACUAGAUAAGAAUUUCUAACACAAGAGAGAAUUUAAAGGAUGACAGGGAUAUGAUGAACACGGAUAACUGAAUUGAAUUCACCGGAAAAGACAACAAUAUUGAAUAAAGAUGAACACGAGGCUCCUGAGAAUCUUCACAAGAAUCACCGGGUAAGAGAGAAAAGAGCAAACAGCGGAAGCACAAUGAAAAGAAUGCGCUUGGAUGAAAAUUGAAUCACUGAAGAAAAAGGGCGGGAGGGCGGGGAAAAACAAAGACAACUUGGGCUAGAUGAGAUGAACUCCGGAAUAAAAUGAGAGAAUGAUCUGCAAAAAUUAAAUAGGAUUGAACUCACUGAAGAGAAGCACACCGGUUACAAAGGAAUUAACAUGACGACUCCGGUUAACAAGAAUUGACAAGACAACUGAUUAAGCAAAAGGAUUAGCACUGUCAUAUGAAUAUGAGAACACUGCUUAGAAAAGAUCUGAAAUCCCCACUUGACAUCGAAGCAACUUGAAUUACCAUAGUCCAACAAAACAAAGGGUGAGGAUUUGUUGGAAGAUUGUCCUAUAAGCAACUACUUGAAUUCCCACCUAAGAAUUCCCGAAAUAUCUGGUCAUGCAAUCUGGUACACAGAUACAAGGAGUAAUAUCACACAACUCCUAUACUAACCCGUCACUUGUAUCACAUCCGCCAACACACAACCAGAAUCUCGGACCUUCAUCUACAACAGACCCUCGUGAUCACCACGAUACAAAGUAUGGCAGUACUCCCGAACAAUCUGCACCAGUACUGGGGACAUCGGGGUUAUCUCGCCACUACUAGUAUUGAAACAAUUACGAACAUCCUUCGUCCUGAGAUAUUAAGAAAUAUGAAUGAUAACGAUGUGCUCAAGAAUCCCCUGGAGCUCAAUUCCCCCGAAACUUAAAGCAGAUAGGAGGCACCAAGACAGAACUCCGUCACAUCGGCAUCAUAUAGAUCUCAAAAAUAUCCGCGUGAUCCUAAAAAAAUUUGAGUGAGAAGAGGAGUAGAAUUAAAUUAUUACGUCAAGAUUCCUCACCAGGGCAUAGAAGAGGAGAAAAAAAGAAUCCUACUCUCCGAUAUAUAACUAGACUCAAAUAAUUUUUCACUAGACUCGACUCGGCCAAGUUCGAUCAAUCAAGGGGGCUCCUAGGUCGGUACUGCUCUGAUACCAACUUCACGCCCAAGAUGCGACCCUAUCCUCAAUUUGGCACGAAGGCCUCGUCAGGGAUAGAAGCACAUCUCGUCCUGUCGCAAGAAUGGAUAUCGUUACAAGUACAUGUACUGAAAAGAAGAGAUAUAUAUAAAGAAUUAGCUUAGACUCGCCACAAGCUACAUCAGAGUCACAUCAGUACAUUACAUAAUCAUCAAGAGUAAGAGCAGGGUCCGACUACGGACGAAAACAAACGAGAAAAGAAGAACGACGUCCAUCCUUGCUAUCCCAGGCUGCCGGCCUGGAACCCAUCCUAGAUCGAUGAUGAAGAAGAAGAAGCAACUCCAAAUGAACAAUCAACGCGCUCGCGUCAAGUAACCUUUACCUGUACCUGCAACUGGUGUUGUAGUAAUCCGUGAGCCACAGGGGACUCAGCAAUCUCAUUUCCAAAGGUAUCAAGACUAGCAAAGCUUAAUGGGUGAGUUAUGGUUAAGUGGUGAGGUUGCAGCAAUGGCUAAGCAUAUAUUUGAUGGCUAAACUCACGAGUACAAGAAAUAAGAGGGGGACGACCUACGCAUAACGGACGUGAGCUACUGAUGAUCAAAUGAAUGAUCCUGAACACCUACCUACGUCAGACACAACCCCACCGUGUCCUCGAUCGGAGAAGGAACUCACGAAAGAGACAAUCACGGUUACGCACACAGUUGGCAAGUUUUAAUUAAGUUAACUUCAAGNNNNNNNNNNUAACCCCACCGUGUCCUCAAUCGGAGAAGGAACUCACGAAAGAGACAGUCACGGUUACGCACACAGUUGGCAAGUUUUAAUUAAGUUAACUUCAAGUUAUCUAGAACCAGUGUUAAACAAAGUUUCCACGUUGCCACAUAACCGCGGGCACGGCUUUCCGAAAAGAUUUAACCCUACAGGGGUGCUCCAACUAGUCCAUCACAAAUUACCACAAGCCGCAUAGAAAUCCUCGAUCACGAANNNNNNNNNNNNNNNNNNNNNNNNNNNNNNNNNNNNNNNNNNNNNNNNNNNNNNNNNNNNNNNNNNNNNNNNNNNNNNNNNNNNNNNNNNNNNNNNNNNNCCUGCUCCUCUCGCCGGCGCUUGCCCUGCGCCGCCGUCGGCAACAUUCUGGACGGGAGGACGAGGGGGCGAGGAGGACGGAGCGCCCGCACGCUUGCCAGGCUGCGUGGGCCACGCGAGGCCCAGCUCGCCGCUCCAGCCGGCCUCCUCCAACGCCAGCACCAGCCCAGGUGGGUGGUCCACCUCCAGGCCACCUGCUCCGUCCGCCCCAGGCCUGCCUCCCCGCCGUCAUGGGCCCGAGGUCCACUCAGGUGAAUCCCUCUUGCCUGCCUAUUUCCCGCACUAGGCGUCAGAUAGUGGUCGCGCCCUCUCUGUUAGGCCCAUUAGUUAUUUAGGUGAUUUUUUAGAAUAAUAUAAAUUCCAGAAAAAUAGACGUUUAUAAAACGCGUGUAUCUUUGAAACCGUUUGUCGGAUCGCGAUGAAUUAGAUAUGUAUUUCGUGUAGAUUUUCACGUAGAAUCCGAUUAUCCAACUUGCAUAAAUGUUUGAAGAUAUUUAGCGUGCCGUGUGCAUGGAUUAACGUGCUGUCCUAUAAUGUUUGCGUCCCGUAUUAUUUUUUCGCGAGUGCCCGGAUAGUCCGUAUGCCAUAGAUUAAAUGUCCAUGUUUUAGGAAUCAUUUUUGCAUAUAAUUUAUAGCGGUCAUUUGUAUUUUCACGUGUAGGGAUUGCCGGUAGUUUAUUUUCCCGUGUAUAGGUUAUUUUUCCCGCAUUUUCGUGUGGCAUUAUGUUGUUGUGCAACCCCACAUAUUUUAUAUGCUUUCGGGGUAGAAAAAUCCAUUGGAUUUUUCUGUGAAAUUAGAUUUAGCAUUAGAGCAAGUUAGUUCGCGAGAUAUUUUGCCGUGAUGCUCUUUUGUUUAAUUCGUAGGAUUUAUUCCGGGCUCCGUUUGAUUAAGUUGUCAACUAGGGAGUUGUUCUUGGGUGUUUAGACUAGCCCCUGGUAUUUUUUUUUGCAAUAGAAAUGCAUGUUUAGGUGUGAUUUGCUUGCUCUCAAGUUGNNNNNNNNNNAGAGUUGUUCUUGGGUGUUUAGACUAGCCCCUGGUAUUCUUGGUUGCAAUAGAAAUGCAUGUUUAGGUGUGAUUUGCUUGCUCUCAAGUUGCUAGAAAUAGUGCUGAUUUAGAGGAGCUGAAAUAUUUCUAAGUGUGGAAUCUGUUACAUUUUGUUGUUGUCUUGUCUUGCUUGUAUCUUGUGAUGUGUAGCUCUUUUGAGGUUGGCCCAAUGGAGUUAGUUGUACCCCUUGUGUUUCUCUAACAUGCUGUAAAUUUUCAUGUCAUUUGGAGUCCUGUAGCUAUAGGUUUUACUGCUGUCAAUAUUGCUUCCGAUCGAAAACUGCACCUUCAUGAGGUGUAAUUUUCACUAAGUCUGAAAUAGUGUGUGAGAUGCCAUUUUGUGUCUUCUUUUCCUAGUGCUCCUUGCUGCCAUGCUAGUUGUUGUUAGUUAUUUUUAGUAGUGCGUCUUGCCCUCUUUCGUGCCAUGCCUUGCUUGAGUUUAUCGGAGUUGUGUAGCCCGUAGUUGUGGGGUGUAGAAAAUGCUAUGUGGCUGAUUUUGGCAGAUUGUGAAGAUUUCNNNNNNNNNNUUAGCUCUUUUGCGGUUGGUCCAAUGGAGUUAGUUGUACCCCUUGUGUUUAUCUAGCAUGCUGUAAAUAUUCAUGCCAUUUGGAGUCCUGUAGCUAUAGGUUUUGCAGCUGUCAAUAUUGCUUCAGAUCGAAAACUGCACCUUCAUGAGGUGUAAUUUUCACUAAGUCUAAAAUAGUGUGUGAGAUGCCAUUUUGUGUCUUCUUUUCCUAGUGCUCCUUGCUGUCAUGCUAGUUGUUGUUAGUUAUUUGUAGUAGUGCGUCUUGCCCUCUUUCGUGCCAUGUCUUGCUUGAGUUUAUCGGAGUUGUGUAGCCCGUAGUUGUGCGGUGUAGAAAAUGCUAUGUGGCUGAUUUUGGCAGAUUGUGAAGAUUUCUUGUUUUGCUCGUAGUUGUUGAACCGUAGCUCCGAUUUGAUCAUGUCCUACAUGAAACUUGCUUAGAAUCUCGUGUAGUUUCAUUUUUCUCUUGAUGUUUGUAUGUUUUGAAGUGCUCGUAGCCGUCGUUGCACACAUAUUGCAUUCAUGCCAUCAUAUCUUGCCGUGCUUGUAACUUUUGAACCGUAGCUUCGUUGGAGAUGAUUUCUAUGUGUAAAUUGCUUGUCUCGAUGCGUAGAAUCACGUGAACCUAUUUGUUUCGCUGUUUAACAACUAGUUAAAUGUAUUAGUUCAGAUCUGGACAGAAUUGUAAAUUAACUUGUGAGGUCGUCUCGGAGCUGCUAUAUGUCAUUUCCGACCUCAUUUAAAAUGCCUAGAUAGGUAGUUUAAUUACGCUUCACCUCUUGCCAUGUUUAACUACAUUUAAUAUUGCCGUGUAUCUAAUCGGGAUAGAACUAAAUAAUUAAACGUGGAGUUUCGUCAAUAUGCAACCCNNNNNNNNNNUUCAUUGCACACAUAUUGCAUUCAUGGCAUCAUAUCUUGUGGUGCUUGUAACUUUUGAACUGUAGCUCCGUUGGAGAUGAUUUCUAUGUGUAAAUUGCUUGUCUCGAUGCAUAGAAUCACGUGAACCUAUUUGAUUUCCUGUUUAACAACUAGUUAAAUGCAUUAGUUCAGAUCUGGACAGAAUUGUAAAUUAACUUGUGAGGUCGUCUNNNNNNNNNNNNNNNNNNNNNNNNNNNNNNNNNNNNNNNNNNNNNNNNNNNNNNNNNNNNNNNNNNNNNNNNNNNNNNNNNNNNNNNNNNNNNNNNNNNNNNNNNNNNNNNNNNNNNNNNNNNNNNNNNNNNNNNNNNNNNNNNNNNNNNCAUAUUUAAUAUUUCCGUGUAUCUAAUUGGGAUAGAACUAAAUAAUUAAACGUGGAGUUUCGUCAAUAUGCAACCCGUUGCAUAUUUAACCUCACUUAAUGUGUAGUGUUUGUUUGUCGUGAAUUGGCAUGCCGUGUCUUGCAUGUUUUCAGCUGCUCAUGCAUCAUUUGUGUUGUGCAUCGUGUGGUGAAUUUCGUGUGUUGAUGCUUGUCUCUGGUUUUGUAAGUCUCGAUAGAGUUCCGCAACGUGCCGGAUCGUGAGGACCCGUUCGACNNNNNNNNNNAGUGAAUUUCGUGUGUUGAUGCUUGUUUCCGUUUUUCCCCGUCUCGAUAGAGUUCCGCAACGUGCCGGAUCGUGAGGACCCGUUCGACUACGUCGGUCCGUCUGCUUCACGGAGGCAUUCUUCUUCCAAAAGGGAUCUCAGGCAAGAUGACCAUUUCCCCAGAUACCAUUACUAUCAUUGCCAUGCUAGUUUUACCGCUUCUACCGUUUAUGUCUCGUUGCCUACCACAUGUUAAAUAUCAGCAUCUCAACAAUGCCAUGCAACCUUCAACCUGUUCGACCUAGCAAACCACUGAUUGGCUAUGUUACCGCUUGCUUAACCCUGUGUAGCGUUGCUAGUUGCAGGUGCAGAUGCUUCCAUGCGAAAGCAUGGGUUCCUUGUUAUAUCACCAUAUUAAUGCUAUUUAACUUAAUGGACCUAUAUACUUGGUAUAAGGUGGAAGGCUCGGCCUUUCUAGCCUGGUGUUUUGUUCCACCUUUGCCCCCUUAGUUUCGGCUACCGGUGUUAUGUUCCAUAAACGAGCGCUCCUAACACGAUUGAGGUUGUUAUGGGGACCCCCUUGAUAAUUCGUUUUAGAUUAAAGUUGGUCUGGCAAGGACCAACAUUGGUACUAUUUGCCCAACAUAAUAAUUNNNNNNNNNNCGGGGUUGUUAUGGGGACCCCCUUGAUAAUUCGUUUUAGAUUAAAGCUGGUCUGGCAAGGACCAACAUUGGUACUAUUUGCCCAACAUAAUAAUUCUGUUAAAUUGAAAUGCAUAGGGAGUUAGCGCUACCCGAGGAGUAAUUCUACAUAAUACAGGGAGGGCCAGUGCUGAUGGUGCUGGUCCAAAACAGAGCAGCUUACUAACGCUACCCGUGGCAACUCGGCGUCUGGCGUGGUAACCAUCGCUCAUCCGUCGUGUCCUGAGAACGAGAUACGCGGCUCCUAUCGGGAUCGUCGACAGGCUGGGCGGCCUUGCUGGAUUAGUUUUACCUUUAACGAGAUAUCGUGUGCAUCGGGAUUCCGGUGAUGCUUUGGGUAAUCUCACAGUUGAGGUNNNNNNNNNNNNNNNNNNNNNNNNNNNNNNNNNNNNNNNNNNNNNNNNNNNNNNNNNNNNNNNNNNNNNNNNNNNNNNNNNNNNNNNNNNNNNNNNNNNNUCCUUCCCUUCCUUCCCACUUCCCCUUUUUUUCUUUUUCCUUUGAUUUUUUCUUCUCCUACGCAUAGGGCCUCUUGGGCUGUCCCACCAGACCACUAAGGGCUGGUGCGGCACCCCUAAGGCCUAUGGGCUUCCCCCGCGUGGGCUGCCCCCCCCCCCCCNNNNNNNNNNNNNNNNNNNNNNNNNNNNNNNNNNNNNNNNNNNNNNNNNNNNNNNNNNNNNNNNNNNNNNNNNNNNNNNNNNNNNNNNNNNNNNNNNNNNNNNNNNNNNNNNNNNNNNNNNNNNNNNNNNNNNNNNNNNNNNNNNNNNUCGGUAAUGCUCGAAAACUUUCCGGUAAUCAAGUGAAGUCAUCCUAUAUAUCAAUCUUCGUUUUGGACCAUUCCGGAAACCCUCGUGACGUCUGUGAUCUCAUCCGGGACUCCGAACAACAUUCGGUAACCAACCAUAUAACUCAAAUACGCAUAAAACAACACUGAACCUUAAGUGUGCAGACCCUGCGGGUUCGAGAACUAUGUAGUCAUGACCCGAGGGACUCCUCGGUCAAUAUCCAAUAGCGGGACCUGGAUNNNNNNNNNNCAUUCCCGGUAAUGCUCGAAAACUUUCCGGUAAUCAAAUGAGGUCAUCCUAUAUAUCAAUCUUCAUUUCCGGACCAUUCCGGAAACCCUCGCGACGUCCGUGAUCUCAUCCGGGACUCCAAACAACAUUCGGUAACCAACCAUAUAACUCAAAUACGCAUAAAACAACGCCGAACCUUAAGUGUGCAGACCCUGCGGGUUCGAGAACUAUGUAGACAUGACCCGAGAGACUCCUCGGUCAAUAUCCAAUAGCGGGACCUGGAUGCCCAUAUUGGAUCCUACAUAUUCUACGAAGAUCUUAUCGAUUGAACCUCAGUGCCAAGGAUUCAUAUAAUCCCGUAUGUCAUUCCCUUUGUCCUUCGGUAUGUUACUUGCCCGAGAUUCGGUCGUCAGUAUCCGCCUACCUAUUUCAAUCUCGUUUACCAGCAAGUCUCUUUACUCAUUCCGUAAUACAAGAUCCCGUGACUUACACUAAGUCACAUUGCUUGCANNNNNNNNNNNNNNNNNNNNNNNNNNNNNNNNNNNNNNNNNNNNNNNNNNNNNNNNNNNNNNNNNNNNNNNNNNNNNNNNNNNNNNNNNNNNNNNNNNNNGAGGACGGCGGCGCGCGGCGAGGAGGACGGCGGCCUGGGGCGAGGAGUGCGGCGCGCGGCGAGGAGGACGGCGGCAGCGAGGAGGAGGACGACGGCGAGGAGGACGACAACGACGGCGAGGAGGACGACAGGCGGCGGCGAGCAGGACGUCGGGCAGCCUGACGGCAUCGUCGAGUUCGUCGCAGUGCCGCGUCGGGCAGAGAACGAGAGGAAGAAGAAGAGAAAUGGACGAUUUGGGUUGGAAUUUUUCGAAGUCCCGCUUAUAUAGGUGGAUCUUUAGUCCCGGUGCGUGGCUCGAACCGGGACUAAAGACCCCCUUUAGUCCCGGGGCGUGGCUCCAUCCGGGACCAAAGCCCCUCCUCGGCUGCACGAUAAGUUUAGUCCCACCUCGCCCAGCGAGGGGGACUAACACUUGUUUAUAAGCCCCGUCGCAGCUUCUCCAUCGAGCUCCUCUCUAAAGCAGGCUUACGGGCCUAAACUCACUAAAAAUUGAAACUAUAUUAAAAAUUAUUGAGAAAAUUCAAUCUAAAUUCAAAUGAGAAUUUAGAUAAUUUAGAUUGAAUUUUCUCUAUGAUUUCGAAUAUAGUUUCAAUUUUUUUCUAUUUUCAUAAUUAAUAAUUUUGACUAUCCAAACUAUUAUCUANNNNNNNNNNGUUUUCAUAUUUAAUAAUUUUGAAUAUCCAAACUAUUAUCUAUUUUGUUAUUUUCAAUUAAAAACUAUGUUUAUUAAAAAUUCUUUUUACACAUUUGAGAAUUUGACAAAACUAUGAUAAUGAAAAGUGUUUGAAAUUGAAUAAAUAAUGCAAAACUAUUUUCUAUUUUCAUAAUUAAUAAUUUUGACUAUCCAAACUAUUAUCUAUUUUGUUAUUUUCAAUUAAAAACUAUGUUUAUUAAAAAUUCGUGUACAAAACGGACAAUCUCUCUCGAAGUAGGAGGGUUUCGAACGAGAACUCAUCUCUUACAAAGGGAUUUCAUUUUUUUNNNNNNNNNNUUAUUUUCAUAAUUAACAAUUUUGACUAUCCAAACUAUUAUCUAUUUUGUUAUUUUCAAUUAAAANNNNNNNNNNNNNNNNNNNNNNNNNNNNNNNNNNNNNNNNNNNNNNNNNNNNNNNNNNNNNNNNNNNNNNNNNNNNNNNNNNNNNNNNNNNNNNNNNNNNGGCGGCGAGAAGGCCCGCGCUCGCGCUCCACCUCCACCACGCGCGGGGGCGGCGCUGCUGCGCGCGAGUUACAUGUCCAUCUACAAGCCGCGGAAGGUUGGGGUGGAGCUCGUCGAGGACAAAGUCAACCCGGAGGGCCCCUUCAUGUCUCGCCAGUUUUUCCGCGACGAGGGUGUCAACAGGGCCGGCCCAUAGGUCGGGCAAACAGGGCAACUGCCCCGGGCCCUGGGAGGAUGAGGGCCCCUAAACAUUAAACUAUCUAUACCUAAUAAUAAAGCGGCUAUUGCUUUCCUCGGAAAACCCAUCGUGGCAUUUUUAUAAAAAAAACGUGUAAUUUUUGUUAUUCAACCCGCGCUGCAUCAUUUAUCUGCAACGCAAAAGGAAAAAACGAUUCGUUGCAAAAAUUAUACCCGUACGCAUCGUCUCCUCCCGUCGACCCUGGGCCACCCUGGCCUGUGCCCAGGCCGCCGCCACACCACUCGCCGCCGCGGCCGACCUCAAUCGCCNNNNNNNNNNNNNNNNNNNNNNNNNNNNNNNNNNNNNNNNNNNNNNNNNNNNNNNNNNNNNNNNNNNNNNNNNNNNNNNNNNNNNNNNNNNNNNNNNNNNGGCGGCGGUGGCGGCGGGGCUGCGGGCGAGCGCGGCCCGGAGUGGCGCCGCGGAGGCGGCCAUGGCGGUGCGGGGAGGAGGCGAUAUUUUUCCCGGGGUACGGGGGAUGUGGCAGCGUGUGGGAGGGGCACGGCGGCGAGGGUGGGGUGGUGAUGCGCACCCGGAGUGGUGGGUAUAUUCGCGGGGGCGCACCGCGCGUGGGCUGUUUUGUCGUCGGGAGCGCGACGGCCGCGGAAACGACGGCGCGCGGCGGCAGGUGUCAGCCGGGCGGACGGAGGAGGCGAAGCGAGUGCGAUGCGAUGGGGUGCGCGUGGGCAGUGGAUUGGGAGCCUAGUGCCGUGCCGUGCCGACUGUGACCUCGAACCUCGAUGGUUGAUCGCUAGCGCCGUGCCGUCCGUGUCGCCGGUGCCGAACGAGAGGUGGAGCGCGCUACGGAUUCAUCAGUCAACUCGACCAUCUGUACGGUUGUGGGAAGGGAUCACAACGAUCAGGCAACCGCAGCAUCCAAACCACAUAUAAAUAUCGCACGGAUAAGUGAUACUCCAUACUAUACUUGUCAAAAAUCAACCAGAUGGUUUCCUCGCUAACGCUACAAAAUUAUCCACCACUGGAUAAGGCCGACAAUAUAUUUUUUUCCUUGGCAAAGGAUUAGCAGUGACUGGCUCAUCGACUGUCAGUCCAUGUAUAUAAACCUACAACUUCUUAGCAUCUUUGCCCUCUAUUAUCAGGCACAUCAUCUAUUAUCGGAGUCAUCUGCAGCCAGCCGCAGCCGAUGCCGGUGCCGGCUGAGAGCCACCGCCGACGUUAGCAGAGGCGGCGUUAUUCGAAAGGGCCUCGGCGCCCUGGCCCUUGUUGGCUGAGGCCGAUGCAUCCUUGCCCGGGAGUUGAGGGGCGUCGGAGCUCUUGGAGGCGUGCCGGUUGCUCCUGAACCGGGUUCUCAGCUUGCUGAAGGGUCGCCAGUGCCACCUGUUCUGCGACUUUAUUUGGCCCAUCAGCUUCUGCUGCUCCCUCCGGACGAUCCUCCGGGCGUACCAGGCUCCGCCGCGCCACCCCAGGGCAUACCUGAAAGUCACACAAGGUUGGCAGGUUUCAUUGGUCAGGUUCGCAAGAUGAUAGCACUGGUAGUUGAGGGUUUGUGUCAGAAUGGAUUCUAAGAUUCGCAAGUUUAGCGUUGGUGUCAGAAUGGAUCCUAAGAUUCGUGGCAGAUACCAGGGCCACUUAUGUGCAGCACUUGCUUAUGAUUGAUUCAGAGGAACUGAGGCGUGACACGGUGAAGCUAUCUCGUUCGUACAUGCCCCCGUGAUGCAUAUAGUUGGAGGAGGGUGUUCAGCUAAAUAAAUUGCAACAUCAGAGCUACUACUACACUUUUGCCUUUAUUCAUAUCCAGGUGGUGCCAAGUUGGAGACCAGAUGUGAUAUUAAACACUCCCUCCGUUCACUAUUUCUAAGAUGGUUUGGGUAUUUUAAUAUGGACCACAUACAGACUGAAAUGAGUGACCAAACACACUAAAACUUUGUCUAUAAAUAUUUGAUUCAGAAAAAAGUUAGAACAUCUUAUAAUAGUGGACCGAGGGGGUAUAUUCUUUGCGCAAAAUUAAAACUAAACUCAAAAGCAAUCAAUUAAUAAAUAACCCAAAGUAAAUAGCCUUUGUGCAACACUCACUCUUAAUUGUUUAUAGAUGAACUCGGAUAUAACAGGUACUUUAGCACUUUAGCAGGGAUUUGGAUUAUGGAGUUCCUUUGGAACAUAUACAGAAGAUGACAGCAAAAUUAUGUCGUUUGUGCAUGUCCCAGUAAUGUGUAUAGUUGGAGUAGGGUGUUCAGCUAAAUAUGUGGCAGCAUGAGGGCUACACUAAGUUGGAGCAGGAUAAAAGAAACCAGACGUGAUAUUAAAAACUAUCUCUGCAGAAAAUGAAAACUAAACUCAAAAGCAACCAAGAAAAUAACCCAGAAGUAAAUAGGCCAUAGAUUUUAUGAUUGAUUGAGAGCUGAGGCAUGUGAUUAGCAUUGACUGCAUUAAUAUGAAAAUACAGAGCAUAUAUAAGCUUGACUAGGCCAUUGAAACGUUAUGUAUGUAGAGAGCAAGUAACAUAUGCCUGGUGCUACCGAUAGAAAUAGUUUUGGAACAUAGUAAAUUGGUAUAUAUAUUAAGAACAGCAGGAACAUACCCAACAACCGUAGUUGUCAAUGCAGUGGCUAUACAAGCUGAAGUGCUAAUAUUAUAGGAGGUAACAAUCUUUUUGAUCUCAUCAUGUUCAACUUUGUGGGUGUCCCUCAACUGUUCAGAAAAUAAAAGAGAAGAUAUAUAUCAAAGAUUGUCCAGAGUAUAUAUUCAGUAAAAAUAACAAAUACAUAUUGAAGGUACAUCAGGCAGCCGAUCCACCGUCUCAAAUGAAAUGGGAAACGAAAGCAGAUGCUUCUAACUCUAUGAAAGUUGUGACUAUCGGAGUGUAAAACUCCACUGUUAUAAACCCACUAGCUCAUCAUGAACAUUAAAUAUCAUCACCUCAAAUAGGAAAAAGAGAUGAAACAAACAACAAAUCACAUGUUAAUCUCGUCAUCAGAAAAUAUGAAAGCAUGUUGCACUGAAAUGACAAAGUAACACAUAUGCACACAGGUUCUAAUUGUCUCAUGCCGAGCCUACCCUGGAGCAAUCUUGAACUUUUGUCAAGGGUCUAACUGCCUAUUAGCAGUUCUAUAAGUCAUGCACAGGGAAAUGCAGAUUAAAAAAGGAGAAGGGUGUAACAUAUUCACAAAACAAAUAACCAUGACAUUAACAGACUAUGUCCUGAAUUGCUUACAGAUUGCUCAAUCGAAUGAAGCCUCUUGUCGAUCUUUGUUUGCUGCAUAUGACGAAUAGAAUAACCUAUAACAAAAAGCGUAUCAGAAACUGUAAAUCAUCCAAACAGGGAAUUACCAAUUAACUUAAGAAACAGUACAUAUGUACUCCCUCCGUCUCAAAAUAACUGUCUCAAGCUUAGUACAACUUUGCACUAGAGCUAGUAUAAAGUUGAGACAGUUAUUUUGGGACGGAGGGAGUACAGCAUAACAACAUAUGCUCCUGCCACUUGGCAUGCAUUACACACAUGAACGAAAACAGCAGAUAAAGAGGACUCCCUUUGUUAAUUGUAGAACACGAAAGGGGAUCUGUCAGCUCAAAAGGCAAGUAAUCUGGCUUCAAAUUAAGCACACAUAUUGGAAUUACUUAACAUUUAGUCAGGUGAGGGGCGAAAGUAGUUGCACAUCUCAACUAAACCAAAGACCACUGAAGAAUCUAACAUUAUAACUGAAAUAAUUACUACUGUGCUAGUGUGCAGCGAUUGGGGUAAAAAAAAACUAAUCGAUUAGAUUGUAUUAACAUGGUGCACUUGCAUUCAGCAAUCAGCACCAAUGGGGCUUUCUGAAACAAAAUUGCUCUGGUGCAGCUGUGGUUCCAAUUGAGGUGUGCCCUACAGUCAGUCUCACAUAAGCCAAACAAAGUAAUUAGGGUUCAGCAGCAAGCAGCUGCACAACUGCAUUACUCCCUGUGUGGCUACCUUCAGAUACAGCGGCGAUUGAAAACAAAAAGGCAAUCAAUCGAACGAGUCAGCGACACGAUCUGAACCCGAAGACAGCAUACGGACUGCGGGGGAGGAGCAGGGGAUGGAACAGAGGGCGUACCGGCCCAGGCCGUGAGGACGGAGGCGAUGGAGGUGCCGACGGUGAAGACGACGCGGUGGCUCUCGAACACUUCCUGCACGCAUCGGGGGCUCAAAACCAGAUCGCAAGAGGCGGGUCGGGGGCAUCAAGGAUGGGGUGGGGCGGGGCGGGGGCGGAGCUUACCUUGGUGGAGAAGAAGGUGUCGCGGACGGCGGCCCAGGAGUUGGUCGCCCGCCGCCGGACGUUGGGCAGCGACAGCACCGCGCGGCCCGCGCCGGCCAGCCGCCGAGCCGCCAUCUCGGUGUCCUCCGCUCGCUCGGUGGGGGCUUUUUUUUCCUGGAGGAUUUCGUUCGGGGGGGGCAGCGGGGUUUGGGGGCGAGGAAGGAAAGUUGGGCGCGAUUCCGGCUCCUUGGGCGCGCGACCAACUUGCAAAGGAAGAAACGGAACGGGCAGAAAUAGGCAGCGGCUAGGCUACGGACGGGGGAGCGUCGGAGUGCAACGCGGCGGCGGUACCGGACACCGAACCGGAAUCCUUUUCUUUGUCCACUGCCGCCUAUUGGCUACCUUUUUUUUCCUUGCUACUCUCUCCGUUCCUAAAUAUAAGUCUUUUUAGAGUUUUUAUUAAUAGGGAACUGCAUACGGAUAUAUAUAGACAUAUUUUAAAGUAUAGAUUAACUCAUCACUUAGUGGAAUCUCUUAAAAGACUUAUAUUUAGAAACGGAGGAAGUAGUACACAUGCACGUGCAACCCACGUCUCGACUGAAAGCAUAAUAUCAUCAUUGUUUUUGCUCUGGAUAAAAAUAAAGGUCUCCACUAAAAACUGAAUUUACCAACUUAUUGUAGUUAUCAUCGAGUUAUCUACGAACAACCGUAUUGAAAAGCUUCACCAUAUGUACAAUGCCACGACAAAUAUAUACUUGCCUAACCCGUAAUUUAUGUUGUUGUCUAAAAUUCUGCAAUGCAUCCUUUUAUGUUUCGUAUUAUGUAGACUGGAACUUAUCGGUGAUCAUUAAGGGCAACCAAAAAAGAAAAAGAUAAAAAUUCAAAGUAUGCAUUGAAAAUAUAAGGAAGCGAGCCCUUGGUCUACAACCAGGGGGUUACUCAAAGCAUUAGCAGUAGUUUCUUUACAGGAUUAAGAAAACAUCAAGAUAUGAAAUCAACAUCAAUUCUGCCCUCAUCUGUAGAGCAUUCGACAUCGGCCUACUUGGUCAUACCAUUCACUAUUCAACUAUAAAUAAGCACAACUGCAGAAAUUACAUAAGAAAUAAGGCUGCAAAAGUAAAAAAAACAUAUAUUUUACUUCCGUGUGGGAGGUUGAAGAUGGGAUGCAGAAGAGGAGGGAGGAGAUCCGACGGCUACGCGUGUCUAAAUCGGAUGGAUCUAGGCUGACCGGCCGAAAAGAUUGGGCCGGAGCGCCGGCGCAGAGCCCUGCCCAAAAAGGCAAGACAGGCAAGGCUCUAUUUCUGCACGCACAGAAAAUGAUCUAACCUAGUCGCAUAUAUUUUGAUAACAACUCAUAAAUUAACCAAAUGAAAUUGGUGCGAACAAGGUUGGAUUUCAUAUAAAAAUGCUGGAUUUUCAUAUAAGCAUUAACGAAAUUCAUUACAUCUACAUUAACUAAGCGAUGUUGGUCCGACUUUGGGCGUAUAAUUAAUACUAAUCUAAAUGGACGCCCGCGGAUCCCUUUGUCUUCCUUAUGUCCGGCAGCCCGAUCAGCGGACUGUCGGGAGCCCCGAAAGCAUAUGCUUCAAUGCAAACAAUGACUCACCUUUCGACUGCUCAUCGUAGUGGAACCCCGGACUGAUGCUUCAACAGGAGGGGAAAAGGGGUGCCUCCGCUUCCACAGAGCCCAUGUGGGGUUGACGAUGGUCCUUGCAACUGAAGAAAACGGGCAAGACACCAGAUGUGUACGCCAGCGCCGCCUCAGUGGUGGCCUUCAUGAGACCCAAGUGGCGGCAACGUCCCGUGUUGUACUUCUCCUCAAUGAUGGCGGCGGACGCAGAGGCGCUCGCCACCGACUCGUCGCUCUCCAUGCACCCAGUUUCUGUCUCUGCCCGCAUGGCACGUCCACAUGCACGGGAGGCGCGGUCGCACACACGGGGGGCGCAGUUGCUGUCGUGCUCCCAGUCGUGCCGGCAUGUAGCAACUCGCCACUCCUCUUCGAGCUGGCCUGGAGCAACGAGUUGCUGAGCCACACGCCGACUUCGGGUGGCAACUGUCUCCGUUGGGCUAGGCGAGGGAGAUGUAGGAGCGAUCUGCCUCGCUUGUAUCCGAUAGACUCGACAAACCACCCAACCAACUUGUAUGCUAGAGAACUUCUGUUCAGAAGCCAUAAAAAAUGGAGAAAAUGGUUUAGGGGUGAGAUUCUCGCCGGUCGUUUGGGCUUAUUUAAAUAGAGAGCGGACCGACCUUGCGUUUAAUGUUGGUCCACUCAAGAACGGACGUAUGGCCGGAGUAGGUUUCUCGGCUUUCAUGUGGGUUUAAUGAAGACGUUUGAAUGCAACAAGGAGCCGUGUUCAGCCAGGCGUGUAGCGGGCGGCGUCCACGGGCGGGCCAUUUCAAUGACGGAGACAGUGAGAGGUCGCGUCUGCCUUCAUUUGCUUUCAACGUGGAACGACGCGCUUUACAACGACAUGAAUGCGGGCAGCUGACAUCGGGCGAGAAGCGUGCAUCGAAGGGGAGAGGGGUUUUUGGUGGGUGAGGAUGGUCAGAAGCGGGCUUGAGAUCGGUCCGGACUCCCGCAAACCUAUCACACGUUUGUCUUCACUUUGCAGAUGAAAAGACGUCUGGACCGAUGAACAACCAUGUUGGGUUUAAACAAUGUGGUCCGAAAGGAUGUGAAAUUCACGGGUCGAGCAAAAUGUUCAACUCGGUCGUAGGCACGGGGACACGGUCCGAAAGAAUCUUGGCGAUAAGUUGUUAUACCCUAACACUAUGGUCGCUGCUGAUAGGGAAAGAAUCAGAUUCCAAAUGUUUUGUAAAUGAGGAUCAUAUCUCAAUUUACUUCAAAAAAGACACAAAAUACGAAAUUUAGCCAUGCGUGGACUUGGAAUUGAACAAUGUGAUGGACGAUCUCUGCCAAGGUAGUACACCCUUCGGUCUUUUUUAGUUUGCAUAUUAGCUUUGUUUGAAUACUCAUACGUUUUAUGAUGUGUACAUGUUUAGAAAAACAAUAAUGUCUAUUUUCAAAAUGGUCAUUGCUACGAAUCAACCGGAUGAUUUCUUUCGGUUGGGCAGCCGUUUGAUCCAACCCUUCGGAGUCGUUGGAUCGAUCAACGCGAACACGUCCUUCUCACAUCGCAGCCAACCACCGCGUCGCCUGAGCAAGCAACAUCACAUGCUCGCAGCAGGACUCGCGCCGGCGAUGCUAAACUACACCCCCACUCCUGCGCACGAUCUGGCCGUCGGUGGAGCUCCAUUGCAGCACCGUCCGCUGCACCGCAGCUCCAAGCCGCCAGUGAAGCUUCAUUGCAGCCGCGGUGGACCUCCAUUGCAACACCGUCUGUUGCACCCAGUUCCGGGCCGCUGGUGAAGCUUCAUUGCAGCCGUCGAUGAAGCUCCAUUGCAGCACCGUCUGCUGCACCGCAGCUCUGGGCCACCGGUGAAGCUUCAUUGCAGCCACAAUGAGCCUCCAUUGCAGCACCCUCUGCUGCAUCGCAGCUCCGGGCCGCCGAUGAAACUUCAUUGCAGCCGCCACGCGUUGCCUUGGAGCCCUGGGUCGCCCAACGAGCGCUCCACUACAGCAACACCGGUGAGCACCCCACACCCAGCGUCCACGACGGCUUGCAACGGCUCGUCGUCUUCCCUAGUUGGCCACUGCAACACACGAGAAAGUUUCGAUUUUCACCGAUGAAAAUGGGCAGCAAAGAUGUAGACGGAGAGCAUCGAUUGGGGGGUUUACUAUCGCAAAGGUAGGGGAGAGGUUGGGGUCAACGACCGAGUUGCUGCUUUGUAUGGCUGGAGCGUCUCGCAUGCGGAUAAGGAUAGGGUGGAGCAAGCGGUCUGCAGGUCCCCACCGGGACGGGUGUCAUGCAUUAGAGGAGGCUUACAACCCGCCCAAAUCAGUCGUCUGAUUUUAAUCUAUUUCCUUUCAAAAUAAGUGGAUAGAGAUUUUUUUUAUGUCAAACAAGAAAUCUAAUUAUUCCAAAACCUAAAGUAGUAGUACCGGAUAAAGACCGUUGUACUGUAGUACUUCCUCUAUCUCAGUUUAUAAGUCUGGCACGCGUAUCUAGGUCGUUAAUUUGAUUAAUUUAAUAAUAAGCAUAUAUUACAAAAAAUAUAUCAUUAAAAACUUUAGAUGUUCUAUUUUCUAAUGAUAUAAUUUUUAUAUUAAAUAAUAGAUUUUAUAUAAGUCAAAUUGACGAUCUCGGUAAACGUGCGUGCCUUCUAAACUGUGACGGAGGUAGUACAUAUAGACGCUAUGCGCUUUUUGCGAUCAACUCAGUCUGUUAGUAUAUCCUGACUGAAAGAACAAAAUUAAGAUCCACUAUAAAUACAGUUCCUGGUAAAAAAAAUCAUAAUUUAGAUCAACUAUAAUACAUAGAAAGCUAUGAUUGAAAACAAAAAUUGCAUAUCCAAGGUUAGCGCUAUAUAUCUAAAUAAAAGUAAAACGAAAACCAAGCACUAAACUACUACUAUGUGUUUGUAUUGGUGCCGCUGACAGUCGUAGCACGAAAACACGGGGAUGGACCCCCUCCGAUCUUGGCCUUGCAGACAAGCACCGUGUCCAGGCACCCGUUUAUGUAGCAGCCUCCGCCGCCGGGAGUCCGCACCGCCACGUCCACCACCGCCUGCCCCCUCUCCAGCUCGCUGGCCAGCCGGUCCCGGAGGAAGUGGGGCACCUCCACGUUCAUGCCCCACGCCUUGGUAGCGGCCUCUCGCACCUUUGUUCUCUGCACGCAGAGCCCCGGCAUGGUGCCCUUGGCGAGCAGUGCAUCCCCGUAUGUCACGAUCGCCGACGAGCCGACGCCGCCGACGCACUCAUUGGUCAUCUGGUUGUGGGUGCUGUCGAUGUGCACGGUGAUGCCGAACACCGGGCUGAGCGCCUGCCGGUCGCUAUGGAGAUCCAAGCCGUCGACGCUGGUGAUGGUCACAGUGUACUUGGUGUCACAGGGCCUCGUGGUUUCCCACACAAUGGAAAACACAAAACCUGCCAUUAUAACUAUCGCCAUUGCGAUCAUGCAAAACUUGAAGCACCUGCUUUCUUCGGCCAUGGUGUCGAGGGACAACGGCGAGAGCUUGAUCGAUUUGCGGUGUUUGGUAAGUCGUUGGGGAACUAUAUACUAUAUAUAUAGUGUUGGAGAGGAAGGCCUUUGUUCUGCGUUACGGGGAAGAGAAGGGCUCGGAGCGUGCUCUAGCCGGACACAGCUUUCCGUGUCUGAAUCGUUUGGCGGCGCACAGUUGACAACAAAUCCCAAUCGCAACGGGGUUAUCUAGCUACCUUAAUUAGGGGCUCGCGGGCAGGAGGCAAGCAGGUAUUGCGGUGACAAGACUUUUCUGCUCCUCGCAUGAUUACAUAUGUACGCUUAAAAAAAAGUGAAGAAACAAUCAAGCGAUGUAUAAGAGAUUAAGAGACAUAUAUAUGAUAAUCCCUAAGCUGUGAAAAACAACAGAUUAGCUAACAAUAAGAUCAUCUACAACCAGACCUCUCAUACCUACCUCAAACAUCCGGAUAGACUGUUCAGUCAUAAAAAAACGAUCCAACCGGACCACUCAAACGGACCUUAAACGUCCCGGCUGACAGGAACCUCUCGUAUCUAGUCUAAAUACAGGACGCUCGGGCACGCCCGCCACGUCGGCCUGGUAAUGGGGCACAUGCGGACUCGCCCGAAAACCCGAUGUUUCGACGGUCGUCUCAACUGUCGCCGCGGUGCGAACGCGGCGUGACGCCACUCCGGCUCACCGCCCGAGGCCAUAGCCGGCUAUUUAAGGAGUGAGGCUUAUGUGGGUUGCCAGGUCGCUCUGUGUGUCCUGAAUGGACGUGUUAUAACGAUUUUCGUCUAAUUUUCCGUUAAUCAACCGAGCAAUUCUUUUCUUAAUUAAUUAAUGAGAUGAGGCAAAGCUUUUGCCUACAUUUCAAAAAAAAAAACAUUUGUGGCAGCUGUUUGUUCGGGACAGUUCAUUUACAAUGAGGGCCAGGCAAUACUAAUUACAUGUCUAAUCUAAGUAUAUAUAUUUUUGUAAUACAAGUAUAAGCUAUGAAAAUGUUGGUUCUCAUGUUUUAGAAAGAUCGUGUUUCAAGACAAAUGUUGCAUAAGACCAAAAUAAGCUUUAUUAAUAAAUCCUAUAAAAUGAAUCAGCAAAACAGAAAGCGCGAAUACGUCCAACACACACAUAACGACUUUACUAUACACACAGAUAGUUGCUAGUAAUAAUUACUUGAAUAUGUACAUAAAAUACACAUGUGCCUGCGACUAUAUAGAGAUGCACUCAAGCCAUGAGGCCGGCAACGGCAAGCAAAACGGCGAGACCGAACCCCGUCACCUUCACAUUGGUGGCAGCGGAAGCAGGUGUCGCCGGGGGAGCGUUGCUUGCACUUGGGCCGCUGGCCGGGGCGGGUGACGUAGAGGUGACAAUAAUCUUAACCUUCAUACCGCCCGCGCAAUGACCAGGGAAACCGCAGAUGAAGUAGCGGGUGCUGUUGUUGGAGAGGGUGACAAUAACAUUCCCAGAGGUAUAGGUGGCGAGGGGGCUGGCGGUGUUGCAGGAGUCGUAGUCUGCUUUGCUGACUUGGAGGAGGUUGUGCGCCUGAGGGGAGUACUUGAACAUGAUCUGGUCGUCGGCAUGGAAGUUCCUGGAGGACGCCCAUGCGUCGUAGUUGGUGCCGAGGUCCCAAGCUCCGCCGGGCUCGCCGACGUUGUAGAUCGCCGCGGACGCGGUGCUUAUGACGACGGCCAUCGCAGCCAGGGCGAGAAGACUGGUUCUUGUGGCAGCCAUUGCGGUUGGAACCGCAAUGGCAUUUUCUUGUGGUGCCAUUGCGGUUAGAUCCAAGUGUCGAAGCAUUUUUUUAUCUAUGGACUCAACGUAUUAAUAAGGCCCUAAAUUUUUAUUCUUGGAAUGGUUUAGUUAUAUGUACUAAUGCAAUAUCAAAUACAAAUGAUACAUUUAGUGACUAUAAUGUUAUACCAUAUACCUAAUUUAAUACUACAUCCGUCCGGGUUUAUUGAUCCCCUUCGUAUCUUAUGCACAACUUUGACAGUAGAUUUGACUAACAAAUUAGAAGUUGUAUGUCACAAAAUUUUAAUUGUUGGAUUCAUAUUUGAAAGAAGUUUCUAUUUAUAUUAUUUUUAGGGUAUGUGACUUAUAUUUUAUUAGUUAAAUCAAAGGUUAAAGUUUAACCCAAACUACAAGGAGGACUAAUAUACCAGGACGGAGGUAGUAAGAGCCAAACUAGUCAUUAUUACUACUUUAUUACUCCCUCCGGUCCUUUUUAGUCCGUAUAUAACUUUUUUGUGAAGUGAAAGCAUUUUGACAAACUUAUAGAAACACAUUAUCAACAUUCAUAAUAUAAAAUCAACAUCAGUAGAAUCAUUAUGGAUGUAAUUUAACAUUAUAAAUAUUUGGUAUUGUAGAUAUUAAUAUUUUAUAACUUAAAGUUGGUAAAACUUUGAAAAGUUUGACUUGACAAAAAUCUUACACACAGAUUAAAAAGAAUCGAAGGAAGUACAUAGAAAAUUAAGGACCCUACUAUUUCGGAGGCCGCGGUGCAGCCAGCACUCAUUUUGUGUGUGCACAGGAACACGGUACGGGCCUGGCGCCGGAGGCCUCUUGCGUGCCUUUAUUUGGAUUGCGGACACAGGGACCACACACUACAAUACAAUCUGUGCAAAAAGCACAGUGAUUAUCGUCAAUUACUCCCUCCGUCCGAAUUACUUGUCGCAUAAAUUGAUAAAAAUGGAUGCGCCUAAAAUUAAAAUACAUCUAGAUACAUGCAUUCCUAUGACAAGUAUUUUCGGACGGAGGAAGUAUAAUAUAUCUAUGGUCAAUAAUAGUAGCUUAUGUUUGAUAAGGAAUAUAUAUAGGUUUUGCUAUAUAGACACCUUUUAGGAUGACUUCAAAUUGUGCACUGAAUUGAAUAACACAAUGAAUAUUUUCAAAUCCAUGUAUUUUCCUUUUUAAAUGAAUUACUCAAAGUGAUGAAAUAUUAGUUACAAGUUUGCGUGUGAGGAGAGGAGAGAUAUUCUAUCAAUCAUUAUUUUCUACAUAGCUCAUCAUCCAUGGCAAAUGGUACGAGAGAUAUUCCCGCCAAGACAUAGUGGAUAUUCCUAAACUUUAAUCCAAUUUAAGAAUACAUCGUGCAAUAUUAUUUCACUCGAUAAUGUUACUUUGCAAUCCAGGAGGUUGCACUGUGGGUCAAUUGUACGGCUCAACUUGCGAGCUCAAAACUCCAUUUUACCAACUGUAAAUGUGUUUUUUGUGUGUGUGCGGAUGUAAUAAGACGCCGAUCGAACAGGGACGUAGACCGUGUCGAUAUUGAAGAAAAGGAAAGCAACGCGUGAAGCAGCCAGCAACAUAGCCCAGUCUUCAGAUAUUCCGCCGACCGAUUAUCUUAUUAUUACUAGUAUAUAUAUCUCCACGUCACUACGUGUUUGAGUUGACCAAGUACUGGCUGCAUGCUGCCUAGCUUGCUUGUGUUCCCACGUAAACGUUCAAAGUACCAAAUUCAGAUACGUAGUCUAUUCUACGCUCCCAGCCUUCCACCUACCGGACGCGUUUCUUCAACCCACCCGGGGAUAGCCUGCAUGUUAUUUAUAGGACCCGACACAAACAACUAGGGAAGCAAACACAAGACCUGACUUACAAUCUCCUCUGCUAGCUCUCCUUUCAGUUCCAACCGCAAUGGCUGCCACGAGAACCAUUCUCCUCGCCGUGGCCACAAUGACCAUCCUGAGCACCGCAUCGGCGGCAAUCUACAACGUCGGCGAGCCAGGUGGUGCAUGGGACCUCAGCACCAACUACGGCACCUGGGCGUCCUCCAGGAACUUCCACCCAAGCGACCGGAUCGUCUUCAAAUACUCUCCUCAGGCACACGACGUCCUCGAGGUCAGCAAGGCCGACUACGACUCUUGUAGCACCGCCAGCCCAAUCGCCACCCUCAACUCCGGGAAUGAU